AACGCUGGCGGCAGGCUUAACACAUGCAAGUCGAGCGGUAACAGUCCUUCGGGAGCUGACGAGCGGCGGACGGGUGAGUAAUGCAUAGGAAUCUGCCUGUUAGAGGGGGAUAGCCCGGGGAAACUCGGAUUAAUACCGCAUACGCCCUACGGGGGAAAGCAGGGGAUCUUCGGACCUUGCGCUAACAGAUGAGCCUAUGUCGGAUUAGCUAGUUGGUAGGGUAAGAGCCUACCAAGGCGACGAUCCGUAACUGGUCUGAGAGGAUGAUCAGUCACACUGGAACUGAGACACGGUCCAGACUCCUACGGGAGGCAGCAGUGGGGAAUAUUGGACAAUGGGGGCAACCCUGAUCCAGCCAUGCCGCGUGUGUGAAGAAGGCCUUCGGGUUGUAAAGCACUUUCAGUAGGGAGGAAAGGGCAGUUGCUAAUAUCAACUGCAGUUGACGUUACCUACAGAAGAAGCACCGGCAAACUCCGUGCCAGCAGCCGCGGUAAUACGGAGGGUGCGAGCGUUAAUCGGAAUUACUGGGCGUAAAGCGCGCGUAGGCGGUUGCUUAAGCUAGGUGUGAAAUCCUGAGCUUAACUUGGGUUUGUCAUGUGAAACUGUUUUGCUAGAGUCUGACAGAGGCGAGUGGAAUUUCCUGUGUAGCGGUGAAAUGCGCAGAUAUAGGAAAGAACACCAGUGGCGAAGGCGACUCGCUGGGUCAAGACUGACGCUGAGGUGCGAAAGCGUGGGUAGCAAACAGGAUUAGAUACCCUGGUAGUCCACGCCGUAAACGAUGAGAACUUGCUGUUGGGAUCCUUUGGGGUUUCAGUAGCGUAGCUAACGCGGUAAGUUCUCCGCCUGGGGAGUACGGUCGCAAGACUAAAACUCAAAGGAAUUGACGGGGACCCGCACAAGCGGUGGAGCAUGUGGUUUAAUUCGAUGCAACGCGAAGAACCUUACCCGGUCUUGACAUACUCGGAACUUUUCAGAAAUGAAUUGGUGCCUUCGGGAGCCGAGAUACAGGUGCUGCAUGGCUGUCGUCAGCUCGUGUCGUGAGAUGUUGGGUUAAGUCCCGCAACGAGCGCACCCCUAUCAUUAGUUACCAGCACUUCGGGUGGGAACUCUAAUGAGACUGCCGGUGACAAACCGGAGAAAGGUGGGGACAACGUCAAGUCAUCAUGGCCCUUAUGACCAGGGCUACACACGUGCUACAAUGGGGCAUACAAAGAGUCGCGAGACAGCAAUGUUUAGCUAAUCUCAUAAAGUGCUUCGUAGUCCGGAUUGCACUCUGCAACUCGAGUGCAUGAAGUCGGAAUCGCUAGUAAUCGCAGAUCAGAAUGCUGCGGUGAAUACGUUCCCGGGUCUUGUACACACCGCCCGUCACACCAUGGAAGUGGGUUGCACCAGAAGUCAAUAGCUUAACCUUCGGGAGAGCGUUGCCCACGGUGUGAUUCAUGACUGGGAUGAAGUCGUAACAAGGUAGCCGUA
rnacentral:rRNA from 1 species